rnacentral:rRNA from 1 species
UACGAAGGUGGCAAGCGUUACUCGGAAUUACUAGGCGUAAAGGGCAGGUAGGUGGUUCGAUAAGUCUGUUGUGAAAGCUCCCGGCUCAACCGGGAGAGGCCAACAGAUACUGUCGAGCUUGAGUAUAGGAGAGGAUACUGGAAUUCCCGGUGUAGCGGUGAAAUGCGCAGAGAUCGGGAGGAACACCAAUGGCGAAAGCAGGUAUCUGGACUAUUACUGACACUCAGCUGCGAAAGCUAGGGGAGCAAACAGG